ACCCCCUGGCAAUGGGCAAAGAGACACCUUGUUGCUGGUAUGGUUCUUACACCAGUCAAGGACAGAGCAGAGAGCAAUCCUUUGUUCAUCCUAGCUUGAUGCCUGAGUUGGUGUCCACAGCUGUCCUAUGCCUAGGACCCAUAA